UUUUUCCUAGGGGAGGCAGCAGUGGGGAAUAUUGGGCAAUGGGCGCAAGCCUGACCCAGCAACGCCGCGUGAAGGAAGAAGGCCCUCGGGUUGUAAACUUCUUUUAUCAAGGACGAAACAAAUGACGGUACUUGAUGAAUAAGCCACGGCUAACUACGUGCCAGCAGCCGCGGUAAUACGUAGGUGGCAAGCGUUAUCCGGAUUUACUGGGUGUAAAGGGCGUGUAGGCGGGACUGCAAGUCAGAUGUGAAAACCAUGGGCUCAACCCAGGGCCUGCACUUGAAACUGUA
rnacentral:rRNA from 1 species